rnacentral:rRNA from 1 species
UACGUAGGGUGCGAGCGUUAAUCGGAAUUACUGGGCGUAAAGCGUGCGCAGGCGGUUCGUUGUGUCGGUGGUGAAAUCCCCGGGCUUAACCUGGGAAUGGCCAUGGAAACUGGCGAACUGGAGUGCGGCAGAGGGGGGUGGAAUUCCGCGUGUAGCAGUGAAAUGCGUAGAUAUCUGGAAGAACACCAGUGGCGAAGGCGGUCAACUGGCCCGUAACUGACGCUCAGGCACGAAAGCGUGGGUAGCGAACAGG